rnacentral:rRNA from 2 species
GGGUUGUGAGGUUAAGCGAUUAAGCGUACACGGUGGAUGCCCUGGCAGUCAGAGGCGAUGAAGGGCGUGCUAAUCUGCGAUAAGCGCCGGUAAGGUGAUAUGAACCGUUAUAACCGGCGAUACCCGAAUGGGGAAACCCAGUGUGACUCGUCACACUAUCAUUAACUGAAUCCAUAGGUUAAUGAGGCGAACCGGGGGAACUGAAACAUCUAAGUACCCCGAGGAAAAGAAAUCAACCGAGAUUCCCCCAGUAGCGGCGAGCGAACGGGGAGGAGCCCAGAGCCUGAAUCAGCAUGUGUGUUAGUGGAAGCGUCUGGAAAGGCGCGCGAUACAGGGUGACAGCCCCGUACACAAAAGCGCAUGUGCUGUGAGCUCGAUGAGUAGGGCGGGACACGUGGUAUCCUGUCUGAAUAUGGGGGGACCAUCCUCCAAGGCUAAAUACUCCUGACUGACCGAUAGUGAACCAGUACCGUGAGGGAAAGGCGAAAAGAACCCCGGCGAGGGGAGUGAAAAAGAACCUGAAACCGU